GACGAACGCUGGCGGCGUGCUUAACACAUGCAAGUCGAACGGAAAGGCCCUGCUUUUGUGGGGUGCUCGAGUGGCGAACGGGUGAGUAACACGUGAGUAACCUGCCCUUGACUUUGGGAUAACUUCAGGAAACUGGGGCUAAUACCGGAUAGGAGCUCCUGCUGCAUGGGGGGGGUUGGAAAGUUUCGGCGGUUGGGGCUGGACUAGCGGCUUAUCAGCUUGUUGGGGGGGUAGUGGCUUACCAAGGCUUUGACGGGUAGCCGGCCUGAGAGGGUGACCGGCCACAUUGGGCCUGAGAUACGGCCCAGACUCCUACGGGAGGCAGCGGUGGGGAAUAUUGCACAAUGGGCGGAAGCCUGAUGCAGCAACGCCGCGUGCGGGAUGCCGGCCUUCGGGUUGUAAACCGCUUUCGCCUGUGACGAAGCGUGAGUGACGGUAAUGGGUAAAGAAGCACCGGCUAACUACGUG
rnacentral:rRNA from 1 species